rnacentral:rRNA from 1 species
GACGAACGCUGGCGGCGCGCCUAACACAUGCAAGUCGAACGGAGUCAAGAGGAGCUUGCUUUUCUUGACUUAGUGGCGAACGGGUGAGUAACGCGUGAGUAACCUGCCCUGGAGUGGGGGACAACAGUUGGAAACGACUGCUAAUACCGCAUAAGCCCACGGAUCUGCAUGGAUCUGCGGGAAAAGGAUUUAUUCGCUCUAGGAUGGACUCGCGUCCAAUUAGCUAGUUGGUGAGGUAACGGCCCACCAAGGCGACGCUUGGUAGCCGGACUGAGAGGUUGAACGGCCACAUUGGGACUGAGACACGGCCCAGACUCCUACGGGAGGCAGCAGUGGGGGAUAUUGCACAAUGGGGGAAACCCUGAUGCAGCGACGCCGCGUGGAGGAAGAAGGUUUUCGGAUUGUAAACUCCUGUCGUUAGGGACGAUAAUGACGGUACCUAACAAGAAAGCACCAGCUAACUACGUG